ensembl:lncRNA
UGAAGUUUGGGCAAGAUCGGACAUUUUAUGCCAGAGUUACAAUAACUUUUAUUCCCAUGGCGAGACAUCGAACUUUGUGACGGCGCCAUGGACACGCCCUUUAACGAAAACUCAAGAUCUUCACAAUUUAACAUCGCACAGGCAUUUAGAAUAGAGUGACUGAAAAAAAAAAAAUUAUGUCAUAAAAUUUCUCGGGGUAGUUUGUUACAGCGUAAAAUAUGUCACUUCCUGUUGCCAGUAGGUGGCGCUAUGACUAUAACUGAAUAUGGGCAUGUCAAUCUGUUCAGGUCAGGAGUCUUAUCAAACAUGUGAAGUUUGGGGCAGAUUGGACAUUGUAUGUCUGAGUUAUAGCAACUUCAUUUUUCAUGGCGAAUCAUCGAAAUUCGUCAGGCCGCCACGGACACGCCCUUCAACGAAAACUCAAGAUCUUCGCAAUUUAACAUCGCAAAGGCCUUUAGAUUAG